rnacentral:rRNA from 1 species
GACGAACGCUGGCGGCGUGCCUAAUACAUGCAAGUCGAGCGGACGAAUCGAAAGCUUGCUUUUGAUUCGUUAGCGGCGGACGGGUGAGUAACACGUGGGCAACCUGCCCUGUAGACGGGGAUAACACCGAGAAAUCGGUGCUAAUACCGGAUAACACGAAAUGUCGCAUGACGUUUCGUUGAAAGACGGCGCAAGCUGUCGCUACAGGAUGGGCCCGCGGCGCAUUAGCUAGUUGGUGAGGUAACGGCUCACCAAGGCGACGAUGCGUAGCCGACCUGAGAGGGUGAUCGGCCACACUGGGACUGAGACACGGCCCAGACUCCUACGGGAGGCAGCAGUAGGGAAUCUUCCGCAAUGGACGAAAGUCUGACGGAGCAACGCCGCGUGAGCGAAGAAGGCCUUCGGGUCGUAAAGCUCUGUUGUUAGGGAAGAACAAGUAACGCAGUAACUGGCGUUACCGUGACGGUACCUAACGAGAAAGCUACGGCUAACUACGUG